UAUUUGCAGCUUGUUUUUUUAUUGUGUGUGAAGCACAUCAGACUUCUUACAUCUUCUACAUCUGAGAAGGUAUGAGUAAUUAAUUCAAGUCAGAAGCACACGGACUGGGCAAAUAUCACUAACAUUUUAAAAAAUACAGGACACUUAAAAAUCUGGAAAAAACAAUCACCUAAUGUUGAUGAGCCCACAUGGUGUUUCAAAUAUUAAUCCUGAAGAAUGACAACUUUGGAACUAUGUAUUGCACCUCUGCGGAUUCUUAGCUCAGUCAUCUUUAAAUGGUCUGGCAAUACCAAGAGCUUUCUCUGAAUUGAUGGAAUAUUUAUAAUUAUGUUCUAAGUGCUUCAAGGAAAUUGUUUCCUCUUUUGAGCUAAAACUGUUAUCCACUCAGCCCCAACGGCUUCAUCACCUACACUGAUCAGCUGAGAGAGUUCUCACCCCAUGUGCAAAUGUUGAAGUAACAGCUUCCAGGUGGCAGAGAUUGUGGAAAAAGGGCAACAUAUCAAUAGAUUCUCCGUAGACAAAACAAGAUGACAACUUGAGCCAGCUCUGGAAUAAUUUGAGUAAUGUGACAAAAUGUCAAGUUGUCCAGCUUAGUAGAAAAAAAACAAGCAAGACAUUUAUUGAUGAAAGGCUACCAACAUCAUCAAUGACCAAUCCCACCCUGGUAAUGCUCUUCUACAACCUCUUCCAUCAAGCAGAAGAUACAGAAGCUUAAACAUGUGCACCAGUAGGUUCAAAAACAGCUUCAUCUCCAGCCAUUA